GACGAACGCUGGCGGCGUGCUUAACACAUGCAAGUCGAACGCUGAAGCACCAGCUUGCUGGUGUGGAUGAGUGGCGAACGGGUGAGUAAUACGUGAGUAACCUGCCCUUGACUCUGGGAUAAGCCCGGGAAACUGGGUCUAAUACUGGAUGCUACAUGUCACCGCAUGGUGGUGUGUGGAAAGGGUUUACUGGUCUUGGAUGGGCUCACGGCCUAUCAGCUUGUUGGUGAGGUAAUGGCUCACCAAGGCGGCGACGGGUAGCCGGCCUGAGAGGGUGACCGGCCACACUGGGACUGAGACACGGCCCAGACUCCUACGGGAGGCAGCAGUGGGGAAUAUUGCACAAUGGGCGAAAGCCUGAUGCAGCGGCGCCGCGUGAGGGAUGACGGCCUUCGGGUUGUAAACCUCUUUCAGCAGGGAAGAAGCCACAAGUGACGGUACCUGCAGAAGAAGCGCCGGCUAACUACGU
rnacentral:rRNA from 1 species